CCCUAUGGGGCGCCCGCGGUGAAGCUCCCCGAGACCAAAAAGCUCACCUGUUCCAUAAAUUGUGAGCGAUUCUUUACGCAAUGCUUGUUGGAUAAAAUUGGGUACACUGCGUCCAUCAUCCAACCGCAUUCUGGGACCAAAGGUGUUAAAAAUGCGAACAAUGUGCGUAUCAACGAGAUGAAAAUUAUGGUAAGCCAUUGUGAGCGCUUCCGCAAAUCGUUUUGCUUCGUCGUAAACUGAGCGAACACCUACCGGAUCACAGUUUCCCCAAUAACUUUCAGUCUGAGGGUGAACCAGUGGGUCACCAUAAACCUCACUUGUUGAGGCAAGCAGAAAUUUUGCAUUGUGCUUUUUUGCCAAGCCGAGACUGUUGUGUGUACCGAGUGCGCCUGCUUUCAUUGUUUGGAUAGGCAGGUUGGGGUAGCCCAAAGGAGAUGUUUUGCUUGGGCUGGCGGGAGAGC
rnacentral:rRNA from 1 species